rnacentral:rRNA from 1 species
CCUACGGGAGGCUGCAGUGAGGAAUAUUGGUCAAUGGACGAGAGUCUGAACCAGCCAAGUAGCGUGAAGGAUGACUGCCCUAUGGGUUGUAAACUUCUUUUAUAUGGGAAUAAAAUGUUCCACGUGUGGAAUUUUGUAUGUACCAUAUGAAUAAGGAUCGGCUAACGCCGUGCCAGCAGCCGCGGUAAUACGUAGGAUCCGAGCGUUAUACGGAUUUAUUGGGUUUAAAGGGAGCGUAGGUGGAUUGUUAAGUCAGUUGUGAAAGUUUGCGGCUCAACCGUAAAAUUGCAGUUGAAACUGGCAGUCGUGAGUACAGUAGAGGUGGGCGGAAUUCGUGGUGUAGCGGUGAAAUGCUUAGAUAUCACGAAGAACUCCGAUUGCGUAGGCAGUUCACUGGACUGCAACUGACACUGAGGCUCGAAAGUGUGGGUAUCAAACAGGAUUAGAUACCCUAGUAGUC